rnacentral:rRNA from 1 species
AAGGGCACCACAAGAACGCGUGGACCAUGUGGCUUAAUUUGACUCAACCCGGGAAAUCUUACCAGGUCCAGACAUAUUGAGGAUUGACAGGCGAUAGUAUAUAAAAUAUAUUUUUAUAUGCAUAAAAAUGAUAGUCCUUUCAUGAUUAUAUGAUAGGUGGUGCAUGGCCGUUCUUAGUUCGUGGAGUGAUUUGUCUGCUUAAUUGCGUUUCAGUAAAUAAAAUAUAUAAUAUAUUAUAAUAUUUAGUUCUGCCAUUUAUUUAUGGAUUUAAAGUGAACAUAUUAUAUAUAUUAUUAUAUAAUAAAUGAAUGCAACGAACGUGACCGUAACCUUUUAUUGCUAUUGAAAAUUAUAAUUAUAGCAUAAAAUUAAAGGAACCGCUGUCAUUACUAAAUAUGUGUUAAAAUAGAGUAAGAUUAUGGCAAUAACAGGUCUGUGAUGCCCUCAGAUGUUCUGGGCUGCACACGUGCUACAAUAAUUACAUUAAUAAGUAUAUAUACUUUAUAAUAUAUAAUAUUAUAUUACAACCUAUUUCGAAAGUAAAUCGGUAAUCAUUUAAAAAUCGUGAUUAAUUAAUAUAAAUAUAAUUAAUUUAAGGUGGGGAUAGUGUAUUGUUAAUUAUUACACUUGGCCUUAACUAGGAAUGCCUUGUACUCUUCUUUGGUUUAACAUACCAAGAGGAAUACGUCCCUGCCCUUUGUACACACCGCCCGUCGCUCUUACCGAUGAAUUAUAUUAUAAAUCUAAGGGAUUUAUUAUAAUUAAAAUAUAAAAAACUUAUAUACAUAAUGUGAUUUAAAGGAAAGAGAAGUCGAACAAGGCA